UCAAUUUUAUUGUUCCAUUUCACUCUGUGAAGCUUCUGCCUCUCUUCCAUGCCCCUACCCACAUGUGAACAUCCUUCAUCCUUCCUCCUGCUCGGCCCCACAGCAUCUCUGCUGCCACUCUAUUUGCAAGAGCAACGUCCAAACCCAAGAACAGGCAAUGAGCAGAUGUUGCAUUACUGCUGCUUGAGAUUUCUGCAUGGUCUUAGGUGUGCGGCCAUCUGGGGCAGACUGUGGUUUGGGAGAGGUGGUAGCCUCGGAGGCUGAGCAGAAGUCAUAGCGACAAACAGGCAUCUGUUAGAAUCACAGCCCCGAUGACUGCCCCUCCUCUACGGGGGCAGGAAAUGUCGCCGUACGCUGGGUACGUGCUGUACGUUUCAGUCAGAAAAAGCAACGUGGAGCCUUGCAGAUGCAGGGUGCUUUUAGAAAUGAAGACCCAGAGGCACGUGUCUGAGGAUGUGCGUUGCAGGUCUGUCUUACGGGAAGAGGCAAAUCUCUCGGAGCAGAUGCAAACAUGCAAAAAUUCCCCUUGGAGCUGUGCCACCAAUUUACCCACAGAAGGGACUUGGAUCCUGUGCUUGGGAUUACCCCUGACCAUCUUUGCUGUGCUGGUGUAAAACCAGGCUGGUUUGGACCUUUCCCUCCUGGGAUUUUGGAGCAGUUCCUCCUGCAAAUGCAUCUUCUUGGUGAGGGACCGGGCAGCCUGCACCUCAUGCCCUUGGAAAACAUGAAGCUUUGGUUAGGUGCGGCUUUAUGAUUGUCCUGUCCAGGCUGGGAACAUGCAUCUCAGGUGCUCUUUGGCACUGGGAGCCAGCAGCAAAGUCAGCUUGCACCCCCACUCUGAAACUCUGUCCUCCCCGAUCGCAUCCAAGCUGCCUGGGAGGAAGGUCUCCGGCCACGCCGCUGAGUGGGACGCUCUGAAGGGCUGGGACAAAGUCCGGUGCUGCUGAUGCAAUUGCAGCAGAACUGCAGGUUUUACAGAAGCGGCAGAUAUUUUAAAUUCUGAUAUUUUAAAUCUGGUAUUUUAAAUAAAAAUAAAUAAAUCUGAUAUC